rnacentral:rRNA from 1 species
UACGUAGGAGGCGAGCGUUGUCCGGAAUUACUGGGCGUAAAGAGCGCGUAGGCGGCACGGUACGACCGGUGUGAAAGCCCCCCGGCUCAACUGGGGGAGGGUCACCGGUAACGGCCGAGCUAUGAGUGCAGGAGAGGGAAGUGGAACUCCGGGAGUAGCGGUGAAAUGCGUAGAGACCCGGAGGAACACCAGUGGCGAAGGCGGCUUCCUGGUCUGCAACUGACGCUGUGGCGCGAAAGCUAGGGGAGCAAACGGG